rnacentral:tRNA from 1 species
GGAUUGUAGCUCAGUGGCUGAGCACUUGCCUUGCAUGUGUGAGGCACUGGGUUCAAUCCUCAGUACCA